rnacentral:tRNA from 1 species
GGGCGGGUAGCUCAGCUGGCUAGAGCACAAGCUUCACACGUUUGGGGUCGCAGGUUCGAAUCCUGUCCCGCCCACCA